GGGGUUACAGGGUAUAAGGGAAGGCAAGAGAACGCAGGAGGGACGGAGGAGAGGCAGGGGGAUCAGAGACCAAAAUACCCUGCAGAUUCUACUUUCAGGGAGGACCCACCAGGCGAUAACACGUGAAGCUGACAUUGAGGAUGCUCACCCCCUGCUCAGCCCAUCAAACUAAUUUUCUCUCCAGCACGUCCCAUUUAUUCUGAUGGCAUGUGUCCCGGCCAAGGAAAUGUGGCACGGAAAUAAUUGAAAAAAACUGAAGCAAAACUUAAGCAUGGACAAAUAAUAACAAUAAAAACGACACAGGCAUUUUUUCCCCCGGGAGAAACGUCAGUGA
rnacentral:lncRNA from 1 species